GGUAGCACAGAGAGCUUGCUCUCGGGUGACGAGCGGCGGACGGGUGAGUAAUGUCUGGGAAACUGCCUGAUGGAGGGGGAUAACUACUGGAAACGGUAGCUAAUACCGCAUAACGUCGCAAGACCAAAGUGGGGGACCUUCGGGCCUCAUGCCAUCAGAUGUGCCCAGAUGGGAUUAGCUAGUAGGUGGGGUAACGGCUCACCUAGGCGACGAUCCCUAGCUGGUCUGAGAGGAUGACCAGCCACACUGGAACUGAGACACGGUCCAGACUCCUACGGGAGGCAGCAGUGGGGAAUAUUGCACAAUGGGCGCAAGCCUGAUGCAGCCAUGCCGCGUGUGUGAAGAAGGCCUUCGGGUUGUAAAGCACUUUCAGCGGGGAGGAAGGCGGUGAGGUUAAUAACCUCAUCGAUUGACGUUACCCGCAGAAGAAGCACCGGCUAACUCCGUGCCAGCAGCCGCGGUAAUACGGAGGGUGCAAGCGUUAAUCGGAAUUACUGGGCGUAAAGCGCACGCAGGCGGUCUGUCAAGUCGGAUGUGAAAUCCCCGGGCUCAACCUGGGAACUGCAUUCGAAACUGGCAGGCUAGAGUCUUGUAGAGGGGGGUAGAAUUCCAGGUGUAGCGGUGAAAUGCGUAGAGAUCUGGAGGAAUACCGGUGGCGAAGGCGGCCCCCUGGACAAAGACUGACGCUCAGGUGCGAAAGCGUGGGGAGCAAACAGGAUUAGAUACCCUGGUAGUCCACGCUGUAAACGAUGUCGAUUUGGAGGUUGUGCCCUUGAGGCGUGGCUUCCGGAGCUAACGCGUUAAAUCGACCGCCUGGGGAGUACGGCCGCAAGGUUAAAACUCAAUGAAUUGACGGGGGCCCGCACAAGCGGUGGAGCAUGUGGUUUAAUUCGAUGCAACGCGAAGAACCCUUACCUGGUCUUGACAUCCACAGAACUUAGCAGAGAUGCUUUGGUGCCUUCGGGAACUGUGAGACAGUGCUGCAUGGCUGUCGUCAGCUCGUGUGUGAAUGUUGGGUAAGUCCCGCACGAGCGCACCUUAUCCUUUGUUGCCAGCGU
rnacentral:rRNA from 1 species